AGCAUAAAGUGAAGAGGAAAGGAAAGAACACAUACCCUAGGUGGAAAAAUUCAAGAGAAAGUGUGAAAAUCCAAAGAAUUAAGCAAGGUGGUGAGCUAUUUGAUAAGGAUAAAGAGAUUACACCAAAGAUCGGGACUAGGAGUAUUUCUACUCCUGAUACUAUAAAGAUUUUAUAAAUCAGGUGGUAGAUGAAAUAAUCCAUAAUCACUGCAGUAGAGGUUCUGUGGACCAGCCUAAGAGAGAGGGCACAUAAUUAGAUAUACCUUACCUCGAUCGAAGAGCUGUGUGAAGGGUGUCUCAGGAGGUAAAGAUUUGAGUGCACUUCACGUGGACCACCGCGUGAGAGUGAAACUCAGCCAACGCCAAGGCAUGGCUAGAUUUCAAAUUUAAAAAUAUGUUCAUGUGUGUACUACACUGAACAACCUUGGUGGUCUCGGUUAGAUGCCUAGGCCAAGGCAUCCUCGGGAAUGAUAUUGGCAGGAGCCAAGUUUUGUGAAAUACAUAAGCUAAGUUGAUUAUUUGAAUAAAUUGAUUAUUGAUGUUAUGAAAAACAUACUGGAAUGGAAUAUCUUACUUGUCUCCAUUUACUCGACUUUAGAUGGUUUAGAUGGUAUCUGUUUACUCACUAGGAUUUUAAAAUCUCACCACCCUCAAUUUCCCACAUUUCAGGCUUGGGAUAACCAGUAGAUAGCUGAUUGCAUCAAGGACUUCAGUUAGCCUUGCAUCGAUAAAAUUGUAGGUUCACAGACUUGCACCUUAUUGGUUAG